rnacentral:rRNA from 1 species
GAUGAACGCUAGCGAUAGGCUUAACACAUGCAAGUCGAGGGGCAGCAUGGUCUUAGCUUGCUAAGACUGAUGGCGACCGGCGCACGGGUGCGUAACGCGUAUGCAACUUGCCUCACAGAGGGGGAUAACCCGUCGAAAGACGGACUAAUACCGCGUACACUUGGGAUAGGGCAUCCUGACCCAAGGAAAUGAAAUUCGCUGUGAGAUAGGCAUGCGUCCCAUUAGCUAGUUGGUGAGGUAACGGCUCACCAAGGCGACGAUGGGUAGGGGAACUGAGAGGUUGAACCCCCACACUUGUACUGAGACACGGACCAGACUCCUACGGGCGGCAGCAGUAAGGAGUAUUGGUCGAUGGGCGAGAGCCUAAACCGGCCAAGUCGCGUGAAGGAUGACUGUCUUAUGGAUUGUAAGCUUCUUUUAUACGGGAAUAACAAGAGUCACGUGUGGCUCCCUGCAUGUACCGUAUGAAUAAGCAUCGGCUAACUCCGUG